UAUUAAAAUUUUAUCUAUUUGUAUGAUUAAAAACCGAUGUGGCUGACGAAAUAACUAGACAAUUACACGUGAUGUGUCACAUAUACCUCAUGUUAAUGUACAAGAUUGGUUUUAAAUAGUAUAAAUGAACAAAACUUUUAAUG
rnacentral:pre_miRNA from 1 species